CUGUGCCUGGAACGGACUGUCUGCCAAGGAGGAGUCAGCCUGAGAACAGCUGGGAGAGGCAGCUUGCGGCUGGGGGACCAGCGGGUCUCCUCUCCUCGGUGCGCGCAGUGUCCCUGCCUCGGAGACCCGCCCUGCAGACCCCACCCGAGGCGUUCCGGGCGGGCGAGCUGCUGGAUCCCGGGGGAGCUGGGCAGGAAGCCCUGCGUUCCCGCUGGCACUGGCGAUCCUUGGUGCUGACCCGUCCCGCCUUCCUCCGAGCGAGGCCUUCCCAUCUCUUCUCCCACCUGCCACACAGCACCAUGCCAUGGGCCUGACCUCCCACAGCACCUGCCACACAGCACCACUCCACGGCCCUGACCUCCCACAGCAAACAAACGAGAAGACACCCUGCUCCCAGGGUUGGCUCAAGAGAUCCAAGGUCAGCGAGUCAGGCGCUGUCCUCACCCCAGUCACAGUCACGUGGCGACAGACAACAAAGUGUCCGAACAAGGAUGGGAUGUGUUCUAAUGAUGCUGCAAUAAAUUUCACAAUAGCUACAA